rnacentral:lncRNA from 1 species
UCGGUUAUUAGUUCUUGUACAUUCUCCAGAGAGAGUUUUCUUUUUGGAACUCUAUGAAAAUACAAAUGAUACACUUCCAAUCCACUGCUUAUCAGUGACUCUGGCUGUUCCAGUGUAUAUAAGCUAAAUUGUUCUGAAGUUUCACUAGUUUGGAUCACUCUUAUUUAAGUGUUGCUGGGCAUAGGCUCGGUUUGGCUCUACUCCUUGCACUUUUAUUUCACUUGGGUUCAGCAUUUAUCCUUUUGGUUCGGUUCAGAGUUACCUCAAGGAACCUUGUUUUACAUGGAUUUUGACAUCAGACGUCCCUGACUGGUUAUAUAGCUUGAAAAAGACAGGAUGCUGGUAUUUGCUGCAAGGAUUCAUGCUUGAAAUACUUUGUUUGCCUUCAGAGUAAGCAGCUUACAACCAUUUAAAAAACAAGGAACUCUUAUAGUUCCUCUAAUAUCAUUUAACACCAUCUGCAGCCCCCAAAGUGGAUGAAAGUUUUCUGCACGAUGCAAAAUGUUGUUAGUUACUGUUGGUACUAAAUCUGGCAUGCUUUUCUGGAUCCCACCUUAAAAAAUAACGUUUUUAAUAUUCAUAUGCCUAAUAUGUUUUCUCAUGACAAAAAAGGAAUGUGUCAUAUACUUCCUUCACGUUUUUGAAUUUUUCAUUGACUUCCUUUGUGGUUUCUGAAAUAUCAAUGACAUUCUUUCUCUCUAUAUGGCUAUAUGAUGCAUCACUUCUCUUCCUGAUCUGAGUUUUCUGGUCAAUGCAAGUUAAGUAAAACAAUUUUUUACCCUCAUUUUGAUUAUCAACCUAAAUAGUAAAGUUAGUUAUAAGAAAGUAAAUUAUCAUUUAACAGUUGAUUUAAGGCAAGAUUCAAGACCAGGGCCUUUAGGAAUAUUUUAGAAAACAUAGUAGAGAUUGGUAAUAUUCUCAAUUUCUGAACCUCCUUGAAGUACAUAAAACGGUGAUAUCUACCAAUGUGAUGACAGUUUUAUCUGUGUUAUUUACCAAUUAUUGGUUUAUAUCUGCUGACUAUAGAUUAGAUAGAUGAUUAUAAAAGAAUGAAACUUGAAACAUUAUGAUUAAUAAAGGAUUCAAUAUGGCUCAGCUUUAUCUUUCUUUAGCCUUCAGGAUAACCAGGAAAUCUGAAUGCUUGCAUAUUCAAAUGGUUCUUUCUCCUGUAUUAAUGCUCUGGUCAAUGAAUGUUAGUUGUAAAGUUAUUUCAUUUUAUUUUAUUUAUUACUUUUUGGGUUUGGGUUUGUUUGUGCGAACAAAUGCAGUUCAGAUGAAAGAAAACAAUUGCAAGUUCUGAUAUUUGCAACCGGAGCAUUUGUAUGUGAUUAUGUUUCUGCAGAAUUUUUUUUUCCCUCUAGACCUUUUUACUGAGGUAGUAUGAGAACUAAACAUCCCUUAGAGGGAAUUUGCCAACUUCAAAGAUUAUCUCUACAUGAUUGUGCUGUUCUUCUCUUGUUACUGUUUUUACCCCUCUUUAUUUCUUAUUUUUUAAUGCUUUAAUGGUUUCAUCAAUUUUGUUGCAACUGAGCAAAAUAAACUCUUGUUUUGCAAAACAAACUCUUGUUUUGCAAAACAGACUCAUGUGUUUUCUUAUCAUUUUUCUCAGUGUGGAAUUUGAUGACUCACCUGUGAAUUUGGAUGAUGUGAAGGAAAAUCACUCCCGGAAAAGGCAUGUAACUAUUCAUUUUGUUUGUGGUAGGGAUAGUUACACUAGACCGAUGCUUUAUCCCAUUACAAUACAGCAUAUUUUCUACAUUUGUUUUCUUGGUGUAGUUUUCUUCUGACUUCCAAUUUAGUAGCUUCAAAUUUAUAUUGCACAAUUAUAUCUGUGCUAUCAAAUUAGAUCGGUGGCAAACAAUUUAUUAGUUCUUUGCUUCUCACAUCUUUAUUUGUUGUUCCAUCAAUUCAUGUCUGAUUCUGCUACAGGAUGAGGUCUGGACUGUGCAGCGCAUNNNNNNNNNNNNNNNNNNNNNNNNNNNNNNNNNNNNNNNNNNNNNNNNNNNNNNNNNNNNNNNNNNNNNNNNNNNNNNNNNNNNNNNNNNNNNNNNNNNNUUUUUGUGGAAAGUAAUUAGAAAGCCCAAGACUUUUUCCAAUUUGAGAGUGCUGUCAUUUUUUCUAAUCAAUAAUUUUUAGGUGUUUGAAGAGCAAGGAUAAGUGAUGAUCUGAGGUUUUAGGAUUGGCAAAUUGCUUAUUUCCGCCAAGCUUUAUGGAAUUGCUUUGAUUUGGAUCUUGUAAGUCUUGCGUAAAUGCUUGUGUUGCUGAAAUAACUAUUUUCAGUUGCCCUUUAUAAGAACAAUUUCAGAUUGUUGAAGCCUCCAUGAAAACUAGUUCGGUUAUUAGUUCUUGUACAUUCUCCAGAGAGAGUUUUCUUUUUGGAACUCUAUGAAAAUACAAAUGAUACACAUCCAAUCCACUGCUUAUCAGUGACUCUGGCUGUUCCAGUGUAUAUAAGCUAAAUUGUUCUGAAGUUUCACUAGUUUGGAUCACUCUUAUUUAAGUGUUGCUGGGCAUAGGCUCGGUUUGGCUCUACUCCUUGCACUUUUAUUUCACUUGGGUUCGGCAUUUAUCCUUUUGGUUCGGUUCAGAGUUACCUCAAGGAACCUUGUUUUACAUGGAUUUUGACAUCAGACGUCCCUGACUGGUUAUAUAGCUUGAAAAAGACAGGAUGCUGGUAUUUGCUGCAAGGAUUCAUGCUUGAAAUACUUUGUUUGCCUUCAGAGUAAGCAGCUUACA